UGGACGCUGACACUUUGUCACGCCUUCCGUUGGACAUUGAUAGCUAUGUCGGGGAGUGUACAGAGGAGCUUAGCCGAGACAUUGUUUGUGCAACAUGGGAGGGGAGUGAGGUGGCAAAGAAAAGUGAUGUUGCCUAUGUAGCUAUUUUAAAUCUGGCUCAGGACACUAGGUCGGACACACCAGCCUUACCUAGCAUUAGCCACGAGGAGCUAGUAAGAGCACAAAGACAAGACACAACAAUAAAAGAACUUCUCAGAUUAAAAGAGACAAAACCCACACUAACUGACAGAGAUAGACAAAAUACAGAUGGGUUAGUGAGGAGGUUAAUGUGUGAGUGGGGAAAACUUAAGGUUGAGAAUGAGCUACUUUACAGGGAAGCUGGGGGUAGGAAGCAGCUUAUACUGCCAGCAAAGUACAGGUCCUUGGUACUAAAACACCUUCAUAAUGACAUGGGUCACCUCGGUACUGAAAGAGUUAUCAACCUAGUCCGAGAUCGCUUCUACUGGCCCUUUAUGAAGAAGGACAUCGAGGCUUAUGUGACGAGACAAUGUCCCUGUAUAAAACAAAAGAAACCCACCACACAUGUCAGGGCACCCAUGGGGAGCAUCAGCUCCAGUGCACCCAUGGAGCUAGUAUCCAUUGACUUUAUGCAUUUAGAAAAGAGCAGAGGUGGUCACGAAUACAUACUUGUCGCAGUUGACCACUUUACGCGUUUCGCUCAGGCAUGGCCAACCAGAAACAAGUCAGCCAAAACUGCUGCGGAAAAACUAUUUAGUGAUUUUAUUCCUCGCUUCGGUUACCCUGCUAGGCUACAUCACGACCAAGGCCGUGAAUUUGAAAACUCACUGUUUAGGGGCCUACAGCAGCUGUCAGGUGUCAGCCACUCACGUACCACACCAUACCACCCACAGGGAAAUCCUGCCGAGCGAUUUAAUCGCACCCUGCUACAAAUGCUGAGAGCUCUGGAGGAGACGGAAAAAGAUAACUGGAAAGACUUUUUGCCCCAAGUUGUUCAUGCAUAUAAUUGCACAAAACAUGAGGCCACUGGGUUUUCCCCACAUUUCUUAAUGUUUGGACGGCACCCCCGCUUGCCUGUGGACUUCAUGUUUGGGCUCAACACCGAGAAGGACAGUGGAACACCACAUGGAUAUGUACAAAAGUGGGCAAGGAGGAUGAAAGAGGCUUAUCGUAUUGCUACCAACAACAGCCAGCAGUCGAGUGCUCGCGGAAAGAAACACUAUGACCAACAUGUGAGAGGAGUUGUCUUAGAGCCUGGAGACCGAGUGCUAGUUCGCAACCUUGGAGAAAAGGGUGGACCUGGAAAGCUCAGGUCAUACUGGGAGCAGACUGUGUACAUUGUCAAAGAACAGAUUAACGACAGCCCCAUCUACAAAGUAUAUCCUGAGAACAAUGCCCAGAAAACUAGGGUUCUCCACAGAAAUCUCCUACACCUGGUUAAUGACCUACCUGUAACCGGUGGUCGCAGAAAAGAUAAAGCGCCAAUCAGAAGCAGAGUCAAAGGUCGCCAGGUUGGUUCUAGCCAAAGUAAAAGAGACAGUGACUCAUCAGAUUCUGAGAGUGACUCCAGGAUGCGUUAUUGGCUCAGAGUACCUGUGACAACCAGAGUACAGGAACCAGCCACCCAAACUAAUCCAGCCUCAAGCCAAGUUUUCACACCCGUGGACCAAGGGAGGGACUCCCAACUGAACACUACAGAUGAAAAUGUUCCAACGGAGCAUCCACACCCAGCUGAAAAUGAACUAGUCCAAAACUGUGAAACGGACAAUGAACAAAGAGAACGAGAACUGGAGAGAGACACUGAACAGGUCGAACUUGAAAUCGAGCAGCAGGAGCAAGCACCGACUCAGGAGGGACCUCUCAGAAGGUCUACACGGGCAAGGAGACCACCUCAGACACUCGGCUACAACACUUUGGGCCAGCCUUCUUACCAUCCACAAGGGGUCAUAGGUCAUGUUGGACUGUGUGGGUUACAAGCUCCACCAUUGUGGGUAAUGCAACCUGUACAAGGACAUUUUUAUGCUCCUCAUCAGACUGUACCUUAUGCAACGGCAGUCCCUUUUACAAUGCCUUAUAGUUUUGUAUACUAAGAUGUGGACACUGAAGGAAAAGGUAAUUUGAGUGAGGUUCCUGUGAUAAUAACCAAGUUGUUAAUAUUUUGUGAACUGUCAUCACUGGCUUUGAAGUGUCGGGAGCCACCUUUUAAGUUGGGGAGAGUGUGGCGCACCUAAAAAGGAAAUGUCACCACAGUAUUUAGUUUUUUUUAUUAAUUUUGAAAUAGUUUCAGAUAAAAUUUAUUCUAUUUUCUAAAAGAAAAAUAAUAAAUUAACAAAUUUCAUUUUGUUUACAGUUAGGCAAGUUCAUUUGUUUACAUUAGUACUGCGUUCCUGAGGUGGGGACGGGAGUGGUAAUGGCCAAGUGGAACCUUUGUUUGGGGGGCGUUGCUUCCAGGUUGGUUUUGGGAUGGACUUCCGGUCUGCCCUAAAAAGCAAUCUGGAUGCUAAAGGCAGCGCUACGUUCCACUGCUGACUCCCGUCUGUUUGUCCUUUAGCCCACCCACAAGAGGUCCCCACGACCUUUACAAAGCUCCUGGAAGAAAAUAUUUGGACUCCAUAAGACUUUGCAGAGCAAGCACACCUUCGUACCUUGAUACUAAUCUUGCCAACAGCAGAUAAACUUUGCAUGACAGAAGUUCAAGGUCCAACACCACUCAUGCAUCUUUCUCCAGAUCGUAUCUCAAGGGUGGGGAGACACCUUUGGCCGGUGAACCAAGACGUUUGGAGAAGGAGUGUUCCCGACUGGAGCGGGAUGUGGAAGAAGGUUCCCGCAGGUUGGCCAUGGCCCACAACGAGAUCCGGCAUUUGAAAGAUGAACUGGAGUCUGCUCAGAAUUGGUCUCUGCUCGGAUCAGACCUCUCUGCUCGCAUGCAAAUUCUUUUCUGCUCUUUUGGAAGAAAAAGUACCGUUGCCUGGCAACCUCUCAGCCAAUAGAAUAAAAGUGUUGUACUGGG